rnacentral:rRNA from 1 species
UCAGGAUGAACGCUGGCGGCGUGCUUAACACAUGCAAGUCGACGAGCACUUCGGUGCGAGUGGCGGACGGGUGAGUAACGCGUGGGUAACCUGCCCUGUACAGGGGAAUAACAGAGAGAAAUCUCUGCUAAUGCCGCAUAAGCGCACGGCACCGCAUGGUGCAGUGUGAAAAGCUCCGGCGGUACAGGAUGGACCCGCGUCUGAUUAGCUUGUUGGCGGGUAAGGCCCACCAAGGCAACGAUCAGUAGCCGGCCUGAGAGGGUGAUCGGCCACAUUGGGACUGAGAUACGGCCCAGACUCCUACGGGAGGCAGCAGUGGGGAAUAUUGCACAAUGGGGGAAACCCUGAUGCAGCAAACGCCGCGUGAGUGAAGAAGUAUUUCGGUAUGUAAAGCUCUAUCAGCAGGGAAGAAGAUGACGGUACCUGCACAAGAAGCCCCGGCUAACUACGUGCCAGCAGCCGC